rnacentral:rRNA from 1 species
AGAGUUUGAUCCUGGCUCAGAUUGAACGCUAGCGGAAUGCCUUACACAUGCAAGUCGAACGGCAGCACGGACUUCGGUCUGGUGGCGAGUGGCGAACGGGUGAGUAAUGUAUCGGAACGUGCCUAGUAGCGGGGGAUAACUACUCGAAAGAGUGGCUAAUACCGCAUACGCCCUACGGGGGAAAGGGGGGGAUCGCAAGACCUCUCACUAUUAGAGCGGCCGAUAUCGGAUUAGCUAGUUGGUGAGGUAAAGGCUCACCAAGGCGACGAUCCGUAGCUGGUUUGAGAGGACGACCAGCCACACUGGGACUGAGACACGGCCCAGACUCCUACGGGAGGCAGCAGUGGGGAAUUUUGGACAAUGGGGGAAACCCUGAUCCAGCCAUUCCGCGUGUGCGAUGAAGGCCUUCGGGUUGUAAAGCACUUUUGGCAGGAAAGAAAAGUUGUGAGUUAAUACCUCGCAACGAUGACGGUACCUGCAGAAUAAGCACCGGCUAACUACGUGCCAGCAGCCGCGGUAAU